AUACGGAGGGUGCGAGCGUUAAUCGGAAUUACUGGGCGUAAAGGGUGCGUAGGCGGCUUGAUAAGUCGGAUGUGAAAGCCCCGGGCUUAACCUGGGAAUUGCAUUCGAUACUGUCAGGCUAGAGUAUGUCAGAGGUUGGCGGAAUUCCUAGUGUAGCGGUGAAAUGCGUAGAUAUCAGGAGGAACACCAGUGGCGAAGGCGGCUAACUGGGGCAAUACUGACGCUGAGGCACGAAAGCGUGGGGAGCGAACAGGAUUAGAAACCCUAGUAGUCC
rnacentral:rRNA from 1 species